rnacentral:rRNA from 1 species
GAUGAACGCUGGCGGCGUGCCUAAUACAUGCAAGUCGAGCGAACAGACGAGGAGCUUGCUCCUCUGACGUUAGCGGCGGACGGGUGAGUAACACGUGGAUAACCUAUCUAUAAGACUGGGAUAACUUAGGGAAACCGGAGCUAAUACCGGAUAAUAUAUUGAACCGCAUGGUUCAAUAGUGAAAGACGGUUUUGCUGUUACUUAUAGAUGGAUUCGCGCCGUAUUAGCUUGGUGGUAAGGGAAAGGCUUACCAAGGCAACGAUGCGUAGACGAACUGAGAGGGUGGUCGGCCACACUGGAACUGAGACGCGGUCCAGACUCCUACGGGAGGCAGCAGUAGGGAAUCUUCCGCAAUGGGCGAGAGCCUGACGGAGCAACGCCGCGUGAGUGAUGAAGGUCUUCGGAGCGUAAAACUCUGUUAUUAGGGAAGAACAAAUGUGUAAGUAACUAUGCACGUCUUGACGGUACCUAAUCAGAAAGCCACGGCUAACUACGUG